GAUGAACGCUAGCGGCAGGCCUAAUACAUGCAAGUCAAACGGGCCUUCGGGCAAGUGGCGCACGGGUGCGUAACGCGUAGGCAACCUACCCUCUACUGGGGAAUAACUCGGGGAAACCCGGGCUAAUACCGCGUAAUAAGUGGCAAGGCAUCUUGCUAUUUUAAAAGCUUCGGCGGUAGAGGAUGGGCCUGCGUCCCAUUAGCUAGUUGGUAGGGUAAAGGCCUACCAAGGCGACGAUGGGUAGGGGAACUGAGAGGUUGAUCCCCCACACUGGUACUGAGAUACGGACCAGACUCCUACGGGAGGCAGCAGUAAGGAAUAUUGGGCAAUGGUCGGAAGACUGACCCAGCCAUGCCGCGUGUCGGAAGACGCUCCUAGUGGGUGUAAACGACUUUUCUCCGGGAAGAAAACCCCUUUGCGAAGGGAACUGACGGUACCGGAGGAAUAAGGACCGGCUAACUACGUGCCAGCAGCCGCGGUAAUACGUAGGGUUCAAGCGUUGUCCGGAUUUAUUGGGUUUAAAGGGUGCGUAGGUGGCUUGUUAAGUCUUGGGUGAAAGGCUACGGCUCAACCGUAGAAGUGCCUGAGAUACUGGCAAGCUUGAGUCCCGUGGAGGUAGCU
rnacentral:rRNA from 1 species